UACGGGGGGAGCAACGUUGUUCGGAAUCACUGGGCGUAAAGGGCGUGUAGGCGGCUGGAUAAGUGGGAUGUUAAAUCCCCCGGCUCAACCGGGGACCUGCAUCUCAUACUGUUCAGCUCGAGCACAUCAGAGGAGACUGGAAUUCCCGGUGUAGAGGUGAAAUUCGUAGAUAUUGGGAAGAACACCGGUGGCGAAGGCGGCUCACUGGCCCGAAACUGACGCUCAUGCACGACAGCGUGGGGAUCAAACAGG
rnacentral:rRNA from 1 species